AAGCAAGCAGCUCACACCCAGGAAGCCCUGGAGGAGGCUGUGCAGAUGAUGACCGAGGCCGUAGAGGACCUGACAACAACCCUCAACGAGGCAGCCAGUGCUGCUGGGGUCGUGGGUGGCAUGGUGGACUCCAUCACCCAGGCCAUCAACCAGCUAGAUGAAGGACCAAUGGGUGAACCAGAAGGUUCCUUCGUGGAUUACCAAACAACUAUGGUGCGGACAGCCAAGGCCAUUGCAGUGACCGUUCAGGAGAUGGUGAGUUUGGGCGAGUCCCAGAGGACUGCCCUCGGAGAGCUGACUUUGGAUAUAACUUCACUCGUUCCAUUAUCACCAGGUUACCAAGUCAAACACCAGCCCAGAGGAGCUGGGCCCUCUUGCUAACCAGCUGACCAGUGACUAUGGCCGUCUGGCCUCGGAGGCCAAGCCUGCAGCGGUGGCUGCUGAAAAUGAAGAGGUCUCCCACGUCCUGGCUGCGCUCCAGGCUGGGAAUCGUGGCACCCAGGCCUGCAUCACAGCAGCCAGCGCUGUGUCUGGUAUCAUUGCUGACCUCGACACCACCAUCAUGUUCGCCACUGCUGGCACGCUCAAUCGUGAGGGUACUGAAACUUUCGCUGACCACCGGUAAGACAG
rnacentral:sRNA from 1 species